UACGUAGGGUGCGAGCGUUAAUCGGAAUACUGGGCGUAAAGCGUGCGCAGGCGGCUUUGCAAGACAGGUGUGAAAUCCCCGGGCUUAACCUGGGAACUGCAUUUGUGACUGCAUGGCUGGAGUGCGGCAGAGGGGGAUGGAAUUCCGCGUGUAGCAGUGAAAUGCGUAGAUAUGCGGAGGAACACCGGUGGCGAAGGCGCUCAUCUGGCCCAAUACUGACGCUGAGGCGCGAAAGCUAGGGGAGCAAACGGG
rnacentral:rRNA from 1 species